UGCAGUAGUUUCUGAUAUUUUUUCUCUGAAUGCAUAUAUUUUCCCACUGUUUUUGUUUUUAGAUCUCACAGUGAAAUCAAGCAAGGAGGCAGUUGAUAUUGUUGGGAGGAUUGCAGAUGAAAAGGAGAGCAUCACAGUUCCAGUUAGGAUGAAGGUUCUCAGCUACAAUGAAAAGGGUGAACACAUGCCCAACCUUGGCCUUGGCUUAGAGACGGCACAGGAACAGCAGUAUGUGACUGUGAUUCCCAAGGCUGCACACAGAUUCCUUUGUGGAAAGGACAAUUUGGCUGAGAAAAGAGGCAGAGGUCCAGUUUGGAGAUUAUCACAAGAGUCUAUGAAUAGAAUGAAAACUGCAAUAGAAGAGUCCAAUGAGAAAUAUGGAUUAGUAUUUCUGUAUUUCUGUCUCUGCUUUUCCAGGAUGGGAAAUUUACCUUAAAGAAAGCCUGAGUGUUGGGAUUCAAGGGGAGAAAAUUUAUCUGCACUUCUUGAAAAAGACACCAGAUAUGACCUCAUUUCUCAACAUUCUUCUCUAAAGGCAAAAACAGGAAUGGUAUAGAAUUUGCAGAUAACACAAAAUCCAAGUCCUAUAUCUGGGCAUAAGUGAGGAUUACUAAGGGAUAGAAAUUCUACAGGAUGGUCUGCAGAAUCAUUGCCAAAUGCCCGUGAACUUGUAUGAGCAAGUGUAUUCAUUUCCCUGCUACUGCUGAAACAAAUGACCACAACCUGGAUGGCUUAAAACAACAGAAAGGUAUUGUUUUACGGUUCUGGAGGCUAAAAUCUGAACUCAAGGAGUUGGCAGGGCCAUGCUUUCUCUGAAGACUCUGGGAAAUGAUUCUUUGUUGCCCCACCCAGUGAUUGCCAGUCAUCCUUAUCAUUCAUUUCUUGGCUUGGCUUAUGGCCUCUUAACUCCAAUCUCUGUCUCCACCUGCCAUCCUCCUUCUGAGUCUUCUGUCUCUGUCUGGGGGACAAAAGUCAGACUGGAUUUAGGACCCAAUGCAGUAUGACCUCAUCUUGAUUACAUACAUAGGGACACCAUCCAAAUAAGAUCACAUUCACAAUUGCAUCUAGAAGACACCACUCAAUGCAUAUGAAGGACUAACUGAUACACAGAAAGGUGAAUUCAGGCUCCUUGUCACCCAACGUACCUGCAAGCUAAUCUCAUAAAAGGCCAGCACACAAAGGGCUGGAGAUCUGAAGUCAUGUGGACAGUUGGACAUAGUCAAACAUAAGUAAAAAUAACUAGAUCCUAUUUUCAACCAAAAAUCCUACAAUUCAUUCCUGAACUCUUUGUGUAUCAAUAAAUGCAUGCCCUAUUUUAUUCA
ensembl:lncRNA